rnacentral:rRNA from 1 species
UACGUAGGCAGCAAGCGUUGUUCGGAGUUACUGGGCGUAAAGGGUGCGUAGGUGGCUCUAUAAGUAUGGUGUGAAAUCUCCCGCUUAACUGGGAGGGUGCGCCGUAGACUGUGGGGCUAGAGUGUGGGAGAGGAAAGUGGAAUUCCUGGUGUAGCGGUGAAAUGCGUAGAUAUCAGGGAGGAACACCGGUGGUGUAAACGGCUUU